UCUUGCUUCGGUUCUAGUCUCCUCUCUAUCACACCUACUAACUUUUCUUUUUCAUGGUUGCGAUCUCUCUCAUUCCUCCGUCGAGGCUCGUCACCGUGGCCAUCACCUCCAAUUUGUGUUAUCAGAUUUCUCUCUCAUCGUGGCCAUCAUGCUUUAGUGGUUUCCCAUUCGUGUUCAUCCUUCAUUCGUAUUCCCUCUACUUUUUGUUAAUUUCAAUCGCUCUUUGUUCUCCACCUCUUUCCCCUAAGGUUGGAGAUUCUAAUUAGAAGUUGGAAGAUAAAAUUUCACUGUACUCUAUUGUGUCUGAUGUAUACACUAAAGUCAGAAUUCUCGCACCUCUAAUAAAAAUAUGAAUUCAGAAACUAGUUCUACAAGGGUCAUCAAAAGAGGGCUAAGAUAAAGAGGAGGAAAGGUGACAAAGGAGACCAUUUCGGGUGGCUACUAAAACAAACACCAAACACUUCAAGUUGCUGGAAAUUUUUGUGGCUGCUACACCUUACAAAGCCGUGAAGAUCCAUUGGAGAAAUAAUUCAAAUUGUAUUGAUUUAAAAAAAAAUAGAGUAUUAGUGACGGAUUUAGAGACCAAUUUUCCAUCAUUAAUUUGAAUUUUCCUUACAAAAGUGGUCUCUAAUUUCAUCACUAAACUUGGUGGCUGUUUUUGUUUCAUUGAAAGCCACUUGUUUACUUUUCUGUCCAGCAUUUAUUUCAUUUGUAAUUGGCCAUUUUUGGAGUGUCUUGGGAGUGUCUUUGGUACACAACCAUCUCUCCUUU